CCUACGGGAGGCAGCAGCAGGGAAUAUUGCACAAUGGGCGAAAGCCUGAUGCAGCGACGCCGCGUGCGGGAUGAAGGCCUUCGGGUUGUAAACCGCAUUCAGGAGGGACGAAAAUGACGGUACCUCCAGAAGAAGGCCCGGCCAACUACGUGCCAGCAGCCGCGGUAAUACGUAGGGGCCAAGCGUUGUCCGGAUUUAUUGGGCGUAAAGGGCUCGUAGGCGGUUUAGUAAGUCAAUCGUGAAAUGUCGGGGCUCAACCCCGAGACUGCGGUCGAAACUGCUAUGACUAGGGUCCGGUAGAGGUGAGUGGAAUUCUCGGUGUAGCGGUGAAAUGCGCAGAUAUCGAGAGGAACACCAGUAGCGAAGGCGGCUCACUGGGCCGGUACCGACGCUGAGGAGCGAAAGCGUGGGGAGCAAACAGGAUUAGAUACCCUGGUAGUCCACGCCGUAAACGUUGAACACUAGGUGUGGCGGACUUAUCCACGUCUGCCGUGCCGACGCUAACGCAUUAAGUGUUCCGCCUGGGGAGUACGGCCGCAAGGCUAAAACUCAAAGGAAUUGACGG
rnacentral:rRNA from 1 species